UACGUAGGGUCCGAGCGUUGUCCGGAAUUAUUGGGCGUAAAGGGCUCGUAGGCGGUCUGUUGCGUCGACUGUGAAAACCCGAGGCUCAACUUCGGGCUUGCAGUCGAUACGGGCAGGCUAGAGUUCGGUAGGGGAGACUGGAAUUCCUGGUGUAGCGGUGAAAUGCGCAGAUAUCAGGAGGAACACCGGUGGCGAAGGCGGAUCUCUGGGACGGUACUGACACUGAGACGCGAAAGCGUGGGGAGCGAACAGG
rnacentral:rRNA from 1 species